GGAAAACGAAACAACAUAAUACAACAGCUGAAGAACAUGCGUGUUAAUAUCUAGACUUGUUUGUUCGCAUUGUUUAUAAACCACUGCUAUACGGUAGGAUUGCUAUCAGUUGUUCAAUCUAUAGUGAUUAAGUAACUACCGACAAGAUGUUAAUAACCGCAUCAGUAUUAAUUAUUCUGGCAGUAGAUCUUUACUUGGCAAAUUCUCAAAAUCAGAAUGUUGGCCAAAGCGAAGAAUGGAAUCUUGUUCGGGAAAGCAAAGGAGUAAUUGAAACACAACAACCUGAGCAAGAAAUCAGCGAAGAUAUUGUGCUGCCCAAUUAUGAGUUUGCCUACGGAGUCCAUGACCCAAAAACUGGUGACCAUAAGGAUCAAUGGGAAAAACGUGUUGGUGAUUAUGUAAAAGGUGUGUACAGCUUGGAUCAACCGAAUGGCAAGAAGCGUAUCGUGGAAUAUGAAGGUGAUGGCGAACGUGGCGUUGAACAAACCGUGAAAGAAGUAGACGCUGCUGAAGAAAGCACUCGACGAGAGCUCUUGAACGGGAUUGGUUACAUCUAUAAAUCUAUGAAAAAAAUUGAUUCAACUAUAAUAAAGUGAGUGGAU
rnacentral:lncRNA from 1 species